rnacentral:rRNA from 1 species
CGAGAGCAAGCGGACCUCAUAAAGUGCGUCGUAGUCCUGAUUGGAGGCUGCUACUCGACUCCUUGAAGUCGGAAUCUCUAGUAAUCGUGGAUCAGAAUGCCACGGUGAAUACGUUCCCGGGCCUUGUACUCACCGCCCGUCACACCAUGGGAGUGGGUUGCAAAAGAAGUAGGUAGCUUUUCCUUCGGGAGGGCGCUUACCUCUUUGUGAUUCAUGACUGGGGUGAAGU